rnacentral:antisense_RNA from 1 species
AGUAACCAAAAAUGGUUCCAGGAUCCAAGGUAGGAUUGGUGAUAAUACGAACAUCUCCACCACCAGGGGCCCAAGUGUCAUAUACACCACCAAAGAACAUGGCUUUGAAUACGAGUAAGAAUGCACCCAAACCUAAAAGGAUUAGGUGAUAGCCAAUGAUGUUGGUCAUUUGGUUUUUAUCUUUCCA